ACCCUGUUGUGUCUAAAGUGUUGUGUUUUUUAAAAAAAAAAACACAACACUUUAGACACAACAGGGUAAUCC